AGGACGAACGCUGGCGGCGUGCUUAACACAUGCAAGUCGAACGAGGUCCAUCCGGUGGCAACACUGGAGAAGACCUAGUGGCGAACGGGUGAGUAACACGUGAGGAACCUGCCCCGAAGACCGGGAUAACAGCGGGAAACCGCUGCUAAUACCGGAUGCCCCCAUCGGGCCACAUGGUCUGAUGAGGAAAUGGAUUCCGCUUCGGGAGGGCCUCGCGGCCUAUCAGCUUGUUGGUGAGGUGACGGCUCACCAAGGCGACGACGGGUAGCUGGUCUGAGAGGACGAUCAGCCACACUGGGACUGAGACACGGCCCAGACUCCUACGGGAGGCAGCAGUGGGGAAUCUUGCGCAAUGGGCGAAAGCCUGACGCAGCAACGCCGCGUGAGGGAUGAAGGCCUUCGGGUUGUAAACCUCUUUCAAGCAGGGACGAUAAUGACGGUACCUGCAGAAGAGCUCCGGCCAACUACGCGCCAGCAGCCGCGGUAAU
rnacentral:rRNA from 1 species